rnacentral:tRNA from 1 species
GGAGCGAUGCUCGAGUGGCUGAAGAGGCACGCCUGGAAAGCGUGUGUGCGCCAAAAGCGUACCGCGGGUUCGAAUCCCGCUUGCUCCG